UGUCCAUUAUGAGGUCAAGGCCAGCUCUUCCCGUGUCAUCAACAGCCCCCGGAGCACCCAGCCACUCUGAAGACGUGUUGAAUGACUGGACCAGAAGAUCCCUACCCACUCAAGCUCCUGCUACUCCUCUUCUCCCUGCACACGACCGUGUCCUCAACCCCAGGCUUCAGGAACCGCUCAGCUCAUGCUUUACAGAUGAAACCAAUAAAAUGUGAUAGAUGGGGACAAGAAAGGGACUAACACCCGCCAAUGUUUAUCCUGCACUAGGGGGUUGGCACAUUGAUACCCGGGACGUGAAAGCAGUGUUCCCAGCAUCACAUACCCAGGAGAGGGUACAGCCAGGACCCGAAGCCUCCAGUUACGGAAGGAAAAGGUCUGAGCCACUACAGAUGAUGUGCCAACCUGAAAUAAGAAUAGGAAGCUCGAUUUCCAGAUGAUUUAGAAAGAGAACUAAUAUACACCUGGCUGCAGACACAGUGAAUAUACCUCAGGGAUGUUCUCAGGAUGGAAAAUAAAAGAUGCUGAGGUCACUGCCCUUUCUAUCUAUUUUAGAAAAAGAAAAAAAAGUGUGAACUUAAUGAUGAAAUUAUUUGCAGUGCUCUGAAGGGUGGAUGGCAGAGCAGAGCAACUCUGAAGGCACUGAAAAGAGGUGGGAAGUCAGUUGGCACUUCAAAGACCCCAGGACCUUUGCACAACCCUGGGCAGAAGAGAAUGGAAAGUUCCAAUUGUGACAGAAACAGAAAUUCCCACAUCAGUGUGAGGUGGGGGCUCAGGGUCAGAUUUAUGGCAGUGGAAAUAAAAUAAAGCAUGAUAUUUAUUGCCCCCCUACAUUUGUGCGCCCAGCUAUCCACAUUUUUUUUCCCGGAGUUGGUCAAUGUGGGCUUAAGGGAAAUGUAACUCAUUUUAAUAUUUGCUUAAACCAAAUGGAAUAUAGAAAGGAAAUAAAUCUGCUGCCAAGCCAUCAAGCUGUACAUUUUAAACCCAAAAUAAAGGGCCUGAUGGAUUUACAUUA